rnacentral:tRNA from 1 species
GGAUGUGGCUCAAGUGGUAGCGAGCUUGCCUAGCAUGCAUGAGGCACUGGGUUCGAUUCUCAGCACCA